rnacentral:tmRNA from 1 species
GGGGAUGUUUGGCUUCGAUGGAAAGAAGCACGCAGGCGUGCAAGUAGAGCGGGCAAGCAAGCUCUUAAAUACCCUUGCAAUCCAAUACGUGCCAACGUAUUAUCAACUGUCAGGAACGCCUUUCGCGUUCCUGCAUUUGCUCACGCUUAACGCUUGAGCACAGGAGCUCCUGAUUCCUCUAGGGAAGCACUCCUGUUAUUAGGGGAUAGGAAGUAAGGCCAGCUUCUAGCCUUGCUUCGGACUUGGCCAGAAGCUAGACAGUGUUGAAUUUGUAUUCUUUAGCAUACUGUGACCCUUAAAAGAAUACUAAACUUGUAGUGCGCGGGCGUGCGACUCUUUUCAGACAGGGGUUCGAUACCCCUCAUCUCCAA